rnacentral:rRNA from 1 species
GUAGCCGGCCUGAGAGGGUGUACGGCCACAUUGGGACUGAGAUACGGCCCAGACUCCUACGGGAGGCAGCAGUGGGGAAUAUUGCACAAUGGGCGCAAGCCUGAUGCAGCGACGCCGCGUGGGGGAUGACGGCCUUCGGGUUGUAAACUCCUUUCGCCAGGGACGAAGCGUUUUGUGACGGUACCUGGAUAAGAAGCACCGGCUAACUACGUGCCAGCAGCCGCGGUAAUACGUAGGGUGCGAGCGUUGUCCGGAAUUACUGGGCGUAAAGAGCUCGUAGGUGGUUUGUCGCGUCGUUUGUGUAAUACCGCAGCUUAACUGCGGGGUUGCAGGCGAUACGGGCAUAACUUGAGUGCUGUAGGGGAGACUGGAAUUCCUGGUGUAGCGGUGGAAUGCGCAGAUAUCAGGAGGAACACCGAUGGCGAAGGC